GAUGAAGAACGCAGCGAAAUGCGAUAAGUAAUGUGAAUUGCAGAAUUCAGUGAAUCAUCGAAUCUUUGAACGCACAUUGCGCCCUCCGGCAUUCCGGGGGGCAUGCCUGUCCGAGCGUCACGAAAACCCCAUCACACUCGUUGUGGUCAUGGCUGCAGUGAGUCGUCUCCAGCGGAGAGGGUCACGCCGCUGGAAGGAAUGGUGCGGAUGAGUUCCGAUGGCCGAACGUAGUACUUGACAACCGUCGGCCGAUGGGACCCUCCAUCUCGCCCUGACGACGUACCCCCGUCGUACCCCCGAUCAGGUGGACCUCGGAUCAGGUAGGGAUACCCGCUGAACUUAAGCAUAUCAAUAAGCGGAGGA
rnacentral:misc_RNA from 1 species